GUAUAUCUCAGUGGUAGAGCAUCUGUUUUCCCCAUAGAAGGUCGCAGGUUCAAUUCCUGGCAUCGCCA